AAUUCAGCCAGACGGACAGCCCGCAGGAACGCCUCACAUGUUCCACACAGAGGGAAUGCAAAACAUCCUGCAUUCAGCAGCACCUCAGACUACAGAGCACAUCUGGGCCGCAGAUGUAACCAGAAAAGAGACGAGAUGGUGCUGUAUGGUUCUACGUGCAUGCUCGGAUGCUUGUGUGGUGAGCCGUUUUGUGGGCGGAAGGAGAGAAGAUCAGACGCAAAGCUUCACAGGAGUAAAUACAAUCAGCUAUUGAGAGCUGGAUUCUGUCUGAGGCGUGGAGGCUCGGCAUGUAUGCAAGCAGAGGAGUUGUUUCAGCCUGUGGGGGUUUAUCUGCAGGGAUGAGGGAGAGAGGAGAAUGAGGAAGACAGGCACUUUCAUGGCUGAGUUGGGAGCUAUUAGCCCCCUGUGUGCUCGGACCUGCUCUACCUCCUCUCAGUAUUAAUCUGCAAUGACAGCUUCACUGUUUACCAAAUCCACCCAAGAUCCUGGGGGAUGACUGGCCGGCGCCACUCUGCUCCAUUAACCUCUGACCUCCAGCAUUACGGCACCAGACCGAGGCCAAGGGCUUGGGGUUAGCUGGCCUGAGCACCCGGCUGGACACCUGUCUAAGGUCCGAGACUGAGCUCCUGUCACACAUAAACAAUCUGUGCAAAAAGACGUAUCUCGGCUGGACUUGGUGCCAUUGUUCUCAGAGCUGCGGCUCAUUUACUUGUGUGUAUUUUAAAUUUUCAGGUUUUACUUUCAUUUUGAGAGGGUCUGGCAUUUAAAAGUAUAUACUUUUGGGAAAAUCCCCAAAUUAUCUGUAAAAAUAAAAGUAAAACUAAACUGGAACUUGGAGGAAUAGUUAAGCCUUUGAGACUGUUAUUUGCCACAAGUCUGGUUUUGUCCAAAAACUAGGAAAUGACUCAUUGUAAAACUGCAAACAUUUUAACACUAUGAGUGUGUUUUCUUAUUUAUUCUUUUAAACCAGUUGACUUUAGAAGUGUUGGUAGGAUGAUUUUUGUUGCAUUUGUACAGAUCCAGGCCAGCUGUUUCCCUAGGCUUUCAGUUUUUAUGCUAAGCUAAACUCACUGGCUCUGCCUCUGUACACUGCAGAGGCAACAAAACACUUUUACAGACCAUCAAACUAUUCCUUUACUAUUCACUAACUGAUUGUCUCAAAUGGGUUUCCUGAACUGACUGAACAUAAUUUACACCACUACAAUCAAGCUUUGGUGGCUCGUACAUCUACCGUGAAGUAGAAAUCACUUGAAAGGUUUUGAAACAGCUUUGACAAAUUAGAAAUCCAAGAGAAGAAUAGUGACUUCUUUCAAUUAGACAUCCAUGUGUCCUGUAAUCCAUUUGGCCAACCGCCGCACGAUGAGUAUUACACAUUCUUCCUUUGAAGAAUCUCAACAUGUUCUCUAAUGUGUGAUUUUCUCUUAUUUUUGUAUAUAUUUCUCUUGUUUUGUAAAAAAACCCUUUGACUGUAUGUAUUUCUCCUUCUUCCUAUUUAUUCCUGCCAUCUACUAUAUAUAUUU